AAAGCAUGUGUGUGUGUGCACACACACACCACACUCACCUCCCUUUUCCGGAACCCUUCAGUUCUGACUGUCACCUGGAAUUGUUCUGACCACCUGUCAAGGUCUCUCAGCAUCCUUGAGUGGUGGAGGUCUUAUAGCUUGUCAGUCAUGGGAGAAUCUUCUGUCUCACUGGCCUUGAGUCCUACAUAUUAUUGUCCCAGAACCUCUGAACCAGGAGACGUCCUGACGUGUCACCAACUGUCUCAAUGCCUUUUUAUGGCAUUACAGUUCCAGAGUCAAAAGUUUCAGUGCAAUUGACACAUAGACAUCGCUCGCACUGCCUGGCCGUCUCGUGUCUGACCUAACCAUGGAGCUGGAUAGAGCAGUUAAUGCUGCCAGUGUGCAGUAUCCAAGACAUCGGGGAGCAGACACUCCGUGGAGAUCUUCCUGCCUGGAGAAGAGUUGGACUCAGGACCUCCUCUGACUUGGGUGCCCUAGGAUGGGUGGCCUGAGGCAGGCAAGCUCCUGGGGGUCAUGUUGUAGCUUAAUGCUCUCGUCCCCUCUCUAGGCAGCUUCCCUUCUGAUAUCUGGCUGGCGUGGAUGGGCGUGGGUGACAGGUUUCAUCACCAACCUCAAGAGCCUGGAGGUCACUUAAACUCCUCAAC
rnacentral:lncRNA from 1 species